GUGAACGCUGGCGGUAGGCCUAACACAUGCAAGUCGAACGGCAGCACAGUAAGAGCUUGCUCUUACGGGUGGCGAGUGGCGGACGGGUGAGGAAUACAUCGGAAUCUACUUUUUCGUGGGGGAUAACGUAGGGAAACUUACGCUAAUACCGCAUACGACCUACGGGUGAAAGCAGGGGAUCUUCGGACCUUGCGCGAUUGAAUGAGCCGAUGUCGGAUUAGCUAGUUGGCGGGGUAAAGGCCCACCAAGGCGACGAUCCGUAGCUGGUCUGAGAGGAUGAUCAGCCACACUGGAACUGAGAAACGGUCCAGACUCCUACGGGAGGCAGCAGUGGGGAAUAUUGGACAAAGGGCGCAAGCCUGAUCCAGCCAUACCGCGUGGGUGAAGAAGGCCUUCGGGUUGUAAAGCCCUUUUGUUGGGAAAGAAAAGCAGCAGGUUAAUACCCCGCUGUUCUGACGGUACCCAAAGAAUAAGCACCGGCUAACUUCGUG
rnacentral:rRNA from 1 species